AAGUGGAGUUUAGUAACAAUCAGGAUGUGAAAUGGCGUAGCUGUUGUCUGUCCGAAAGGGACAGCGGGCCGGGAUACAGAGGAACAACCUGGUCAUGAACCGCGCAGAAAUGGACUUUAAUUCAUGUCUUUCAUCAUCACUCUGAUAAACUAGUGAAGACCUUCGACCUCAUCCUGCCGACUACUAAGACGAUCAUUUGAUCAUGCAUGAGUAUAAGACUCCAGAGAAAGCUGCACCAGACGAGAAGUGGUUCAGCAGCACGAUGAAGCCUGUCCUGCACCCAAGUCCUUUAGAUCUGCUCAGCACUGCACCUGGGUAGCAUUUGAUGCUUCAUCCAUCCGUUCAUUUAUCCAGGAUGACCUCAGAGGCGUAGUCCAGGCCGCUUUUAUUCCCUCUUUCUUCAUCCGAGUUUUGAGCUAGUUUUCCCCUUUAAUAUGAUGAAUUGUUUACUUCAUUCCUAUUUUUAACUCAAACUGUAUUCACUCAGCUCAGUAGACAGUAAAGUUUCACACAGCUUUUUAAUCCUGUCUAAUUAACGAGCUUUAAACGACCCGGUCUCAUCGAAACAUACUCUAGGUGUGAUUAGUAAACGGAUGGCGAGAAGAAGAGUGAGAUUCGCGAUCCGAGUUGUGGAAAAUGACAUAAAAUACACAAACGGUUCAUCAAUGUAACGUCAUCUAAUGUAAUCGUUUAACAAAAGGUUAUAACUGCAGAAGAAAUGUAAAUUUUAUCAAACUUUUAUUUGGAGAACUGAACACCAAGUCAGCUUAUUAACAGAUUAUUAACCUGCAUGGACAUUUAUUUAUGUCAUACGAUGGAAAAGUUAAAUCCCACACACAUUUAUUUACGUUUAUUACAUUUACUUUUUUCCCCGAGGAAGUUGUGAAGUGUGUGUGUGUGUGUGUGUGUGUGUGUGUGUGUGUGUGUAUGCGUGUGUGUGUGUGCGCCUUGCCGUGUUUGACCUGUAGUGACGAUGGGUUGAAUUAAAUAAAAAUUUCCUAAAAGCAUUGUAACACGAUUGUUACAAAGGAAGCGCAAACAUCACAUUGAACUCUCUUUCUCUCUCUCUCUCUCUCUCUCUCUCUCUCUCUCUCUCUCUCUCUCUUUCUUUCCAUCAGUCAUGACCUUUUAACAUUACAGUGCUUUUAGGAAAUCAAAUCCGUGCGGUUUGAGCGUAAAUGGCGUCUACGGACGGGAUAUGUGCAAUACGUCUGUUUUUAUUUGGGGUUUUUUGGGUCCUGUUUCGAGAUAAAUGUGUAAAUUGUACAAACAAGUGACGAGUUGUUCGUGCGACAAACAACAAAAUCACCAAUGUCUUCCAUUAAGUGAUGUAUAGUUUCAUCCGCUUGUUUGGUAGCGGGAUCUGUCGUGCCAACGUUAUAUGUGGCCAUGCAUGAGCGGACUCGAUGCUUGCAGAGUAGUUGUAGUGAAAUCCAGUUUAUAAACCUUAACGCAUAUUAGCUAAUAGUUGAGCAGAUGGUGAUUAGUCUCAUUACCACCGUGUAGCUUUGAGAAUAGUGAGCUUUGGAGAAUUUCAUUUAAAUUUAUUAUUUUUUUGUUUUUGUGUGUGUUUGUUGUCUUUUGAUCUUUAGUCGUCUAAUCUUAUCAUUUUCUUCAGAUCACUUUCCUGAAACAAAAAAAAAAGGCUUUGGGUCUUUGUUUAAAAGCCUCGAGCCAACAAAUCACAACUCUUUUAUUUUUGAUUAUAUAAUCUUAUGUUCUUAGUGUUAAUUUUUGCUAGUUAGCAUUGAACAACCUGACUAGCGACUAGCUAAGUAGGGUGAAACUGUACUCGUCGGCGCUGUAAGUUAGGACAAAAUAAAUAACGAACAACAAAAUAACAAGAAUAAAAUUUAAAAAAAAAACGCUUUAGUCUGGAGUGGCUUUUAGGUAGCGUCGUCACUCUGACACGGUUUCGGAUGCACCGGAGGGUUAGUUUAGCUAGCUUUAACGUAGCAGACGUUCUAGAUUUUAGUUAACGAGUAGUUAGCGUCUCUAGUCGAUCAGAAUAAGGUGAUGUAGAUAGUUAAAUACCUCAAUCACUGGAAUGCAAAGUCUAUUUUUUAGAUUCCAUUGACAAAUAUGCAAGCCAUACUGCGCAUUAUGUUAGAUGUUACAUAUGAGGUUCGAUCCGUGCCAAAAAAAAUGUUGGCAUCACAUCGUGUAGUCAGUGUGUUUACUCUGUUGUUGUUUCUCCUUCUUGAUUCCGAACAGAAGGUUUCAGGAGAAGGAGCGUCGACUGUGUUAUGCCUUUAUCACGGCUUAUUAUACGAUCUGAAAGUCAUUUUAAUUGGAGAAUUAAAACCAAUCUUCAAACUUCACCCUUCGCUACAUGACCUCUGUGUCUCCAUGUGCCCCGAGCCUUCUUGAAUCGGUAGGCCAGGGCCGUUCGUGUUUUUGGCACGGAUAGACCCUCAUCAUUUAGAAGCAAUAAUUCUAUUAUGCAUGAAAACUCUAGUGCCAGAACGGUGUUUUGUGGAAUGGCCUGUAGCAUAUUUCUUGCCGUGGUGUGUGUUCGUUAUUAAUGUUUAUUACUAAAGCGUACUGGAUUUCCGGUGGGCCAAAACGAGCUCCUCGUGUGUUAAAAAACAACAACAAAACAGUGUACUUUAUGCACACUGCAUGAUUUCUAUCGCUACAUGAGCAGAUGACAUCGAGCACAGAUGUGGAUUAUGCAGUCAAAAAGGAAUCGGAUCGAGACGACGCUUUCUUUCACACGCUACAGUACACACUAAACACACACUGAACAUCAGUCGGCCUGCGAGCCUGUAGGUGUUUGUCUGUGGGAACGUGAGGGGUAAAUUAGCUACUGCAUGGUAGAAGUGGGUACCACGUGUCGUGCUGCAUGCAAUAAUUAAGCUUUGUUUGGAAAAAAAAUAUAUAUAUAUAAUGCAAAACGUUAAGAAUGUGAAGUCAAGCUAGUGGACUGAUGUCUGAUUUUCCCUUAAGUUAAAAAAACAUUCCAUACAAAUACAUAAUCGUCUCACUCGCUUUAUUAUAAUCCUUUCUGUAUGUAACUUUUAUUUUUAUUUUACAAAUAGUCAGGAGAGGAAAGUUGCUGUAUUAUCUGUACAACCCUUGACAUGAUGAGUGAUAUUUGAGUAGCCUGUGAUUAUUAAUCAAACAACACAGGCUUGAUUGGAAUGGUCUUCUUGUUCGAAGUUAAAGCAAAUUCAGGUUUAGUGGACCGUAUACACACACACACACACACACUCAAUUUGCACCUUAGUGUUAGUUUAACAUGGUUCAAAUAUUAUUUCCAACUGAAAUCCAUGUCCAGGGUAAAUAUUAUUUUCUACUCCACAAUAUUAUUUUUUUUGUUUAUCAUCACAGGAUGGAUUGUACGGUAUAUGUGGUUAAAUCUAUGCACUACAGAUGCGCUAAGCAUGCGAAGAUAAACCUCUUGAUUUUGUACAAUUAAAAAAAAAAAUAAAUCUGUAUAAGAAUUUAGCAAUAAAAACAGCAUGGUGCCAAUCUUA